AUAUGGCAAGUGCUCUACUGCUGAGCUAUAACUCCUGUCCCAUGAGCUACAACUCCAGCCCCUGGAAUUUUGUUAAGGCUGCUAUAUGUGUGGAACUCAUGGGUAUAUCUAUGUUUUGCAAAUGUCUCACUGUUAAAUGUCUAUGAUAUGAGCUUUCCUUUUCAUGAUGAAGUUGAAGAAGAGAUCAACCUUUAUGAACACUAACAUUGACAACCAGGUGGGCUUUGUAUGACAGAGGUAUGUGUAUGCCACACAAAACUAUUAGGGAAUAUUUCUAAUAAGAAAAAUGUCUGAUAUUUUGCAUUUGAGAAAUGAUUAUGAUUCUGUUUAUUGCUUAGAGGGAUUGCUAAACUACUUUAAAUUUAGCAAAUUUAAGAUAUGGACUUAAUAUAUAAGGAUGGAGUUUUAGCAGCUGGCCCUAUGUUCAGAGAUGGUUUUUAUAUGACUUCCAUGUGAAAAGAUUGAAAGAGUCAUUGGAUCACUGCCCUCAAUUUUUAGAUUUUGGUAUAUGAUAGGAAAUGUUCUUAUAAUAUAUGUAGCAUAUAUAACUAUAUAUCUACCUGUAUGGAUAUGAGUGAUACACACAUAUAUUCAUGUCAUAUAUACAUGGUAUAUAUGCAAUUUUGGGUAUACAUUUUUUUUUUGUUUUCAGUUGUUAUGUAUAUGUUCACAUGUUGUUUACAUUUGUAGAUGUGGAGARUUUUCUGUCACAUUUUGUGAAUAUAUUUUGCAUAAAAUAAAUAGGAUAAAUAAAAAAAUAAAAUAAAUUAUAGGACAGAAAGUGUUUUUUUGUUAACUGAAAUGCAAUUAACAAAAUGCAAAAACCCAAGCCUCUAUUUAGAAGGAUUUUUACACAGAUAUGUAUAUAUAGUUAGUACGUUUUAAAACAUGUUUCAAGAAAUGUAUGACUUCUGAAAUCCUUCUUGCAAUUAAUCAAUCCAUAUUUCUGUGUUAUGAAUCAUUAUUUGUGAUUAGAGUCAUUUUGUAAAAUGAUUCAUUACCCUUGCUCUUAACUUUUUUUGCCUUUUUUUGUCUGUGAGGAGGCAUGAACACACUCUGUGUUGAGCUAGAAUUAACUAAAUGUCAGCAUCACAUCUGUGUGUUCAUGUGUGUGGACGCAUGAAUGUGUAGUAUGUGGAUGUGUGAGUAUAUACAAAAAGUAUACAUUUAUAUGUUUUGAACAUUUUCCCCCAGAAUGGCAUUGCUGAUGCAUAUACAUUUUGGAAAAUAMCCUUUUUAAAUUAAUACAGCCAUGUACUUUUUUACAUAUUAAAAUUUAUUGUUGGAAGGUAUAUGGAAAGGAUGGAUUUUUUUAUGAUCACAGUUUCAUGUACRUGUACAAUCCUUUUGCUUACUUCUGUUUUUGUUUUGGUAGAGAUGGUGAACAUUUAUAUAUUGCAACCAUUACUUUGUUAAACUGUUAAACUAGUUGAAAUAUAAAUAAUUAUAAAUGACUUUAACAGCAUUAGGUGGUUAGCUUUUGGGGGUUUAUUUAAUAUCUGUAAUAGAUGCUUUAUAAUAUUUCAGCAUUUUUAGAUGCAUGUGAGUUGAUGAGAAUUAGAAAAAGAAGAAAUAUUUUUCUUUUAAUGGUAAAGUAUUAUUUUUACCUUUUGGAAAAACGUGAAUAUAUUUCUGUGAUUGUACAAAUUACUUGUAUAUUCCAUUGACAAAAGCUUCUGUGCUUGCAUGUUAUUAGUGUAUAUACUGUCAUGUUAGAGAAGAUAGUGGUAUUUUACCACAUUUACAAGUAAAAUUAGAUUAUCAUUCCAGGGUAUCCAUUUAAUGUAAAUACAAUGUGUCUAUGUAAUAGAUAAGUAGACAUAUCUUAUUUUGCUAAACUUACGUUCAUGAUGCAAUUCUUUCUUCUUACAUGUUUUAUAGAAUUUCUAAAUUUUGUGGUUCAUUUUUUUACUACAUGGCAAAAAACCACAACUUUAUAAAUAAUGGGGAAAUAAUUUUUUUAUUUCAAACAUGUAUUUCUAGCGUCUCACAAGUAUAAAUUUUGUAAAUCCACAAAAUUAGUAGUGCUAUGGUCAUUUUUGAUUAAUGUGGCAGUUAAAUUGGUUAUUCAUAAGUAGCUCUUAGAGCUAUAAAAAUUUAUCAUAUAUUAAUAUAGAUGUUAGAAGGAGAAAAUAAGAAAAUAGGAAGACACUAUGCAAUUAACUCCAUUUCCAUGGAAGUCUACAGUUUGCCAUGUAUGAAUUGCAUAUUUAAAAAUACUCAAAUGAAGUAACAGUUAAAUCCAAUCGUCUUUUUCUGGAUGUUCCAAGCUUCCUUAUAUCUUUUUUUCCCCUUUGCUGUCAACAUUCAAGAUAUAAAUGAUUAAAGAGAGUUUGUACUACCUCUUGGAACUAUACAAUGUUAUGUAUGUGUUCCCUUGGUUGCAUGACAAUAUUCAAGACAACUUUGUAAAUAAGGUAAAGCCAAAAUUUUAAUUUUCAACAUCUAGUUGUCCUUCUAGAUGUAUAGAGUCUCACAAAGUAUAAUUUUGUAAAUAAKUCAUUGUAAAAUUUCAUCAUUUGAUUGUUCUUUGAAAUUUUUUGCCAAUGAAAUACACAAAGUUGUAGGUUUUAUUAAAUAUCUGUUUAUUGAGUUAUGGGAAGGAAAAGGUUAAAAUAUGUGUAUUUUAAGCUUUUGAGUUUCCAUCAAAAGAAAAAAAAUACAUUUUAACCAUAGUUAUUUGCUUGUAUUAUAUACUUCAUAAGUUUGUAGUUGUAUUGCUACAUUUUAAUAGUAUUUUUUAUAAGCAUUGUAGAAAAUGCCUUUUAUAAGAAAAAUUUCCUUCUACCUCUUCGACCUAAUAUAGUAUUAUAUGUUCUUGGACUGCAUGACAAAAUUCAAGACAACUUUGUAAAUACCAGUUACCCUUGUCAUUUGAAAAUAACUAGUUUUGCCAUGUGCUCUGGGUCUCAAGAAAGUAUAAAUUUGUAAAUAUUUCAUUGUAAAACUCCAUAGUUAAAUUGAUUGCUGUAAAUGCUUUUACAGUCCAUUGGUGAAUUAAUAUAAAGACAAACAUUUUGCUGUUUUGUGAGAGAGCAAUAGGUAAAUUGUGUCUGCAUCUCCUCACUGAUCAGGAUCAUUGCUGUUUGUGUGCAUUAUAUAUUUAAACAAUUACCCUGGCAUACAGUUUGACCUCAGGUACCAAGUAGAAGAUAUGAGAAGGAAAUUCCCAUUUUWAAAAAAGAGAGAAUUAAAAAGAUCGGUACAAUUAUUGUUACCUGGUUAUAUUUAUUCUCUGCGAAUUUACUUGCAUGUACAUGCCUUUGAAAUCAUGUUUUAGUUAAAUAGUUGGGAUAUUGCUCAUUACAGCUUUUCUCAUUUGUUUGUUUAAUGAUUUAUAUUUUAUUUUACUUUAAUUUUUAUAUUUUUGCUUGGGAUUUUUCCCAGAGACUCAUGAAUGAUAUAGGCUUGUGCUCUGCCACUACACUAUAGCCCCAGGCCUUUUUAUUUUACAAGUGAUGAAACUUUUAUUUUUUAGCUUGAACAUAUUUCUAGAAUCCAAUUUAUUAUUAUUUCUAACUAUAAUUUUAUAGUAAUACUAAGCUCUAUUACUUUGAAUUCCAAAUCUGUUUCCAUGUUUGUAUAUCCCUGUGAGAACAAAACAACAAUAAUUAUGAAUAGUUUGUUUUUUCUGAUAUUAUUUUUGAAAUUUUCUUGUGACCUAUAUAUAAUUCAUUUAUGUGAUAAUCAAAGACAAGUCAUGUUACCUGUUACAUAAAGAAGGAUUUUUUUAAAUAAAAAUUCUUGUGUUGAUCAAAGUAUAGAUCCUCAUUUUUUGAAUAGAAUUUGGUAUAGAUCAUCAAAUUCUGUAGGUAUAAAAUAUUUUAAAUGUAAUAAUUGGCUAUUGGAAUAGCCAAUUCCAAAUGUUGGAAUACUUAAACAUUUGCUAGGAAKAAAGUAUUAUGUGUUUACUUUAAAAACAUAAUGUAAACAACUGAAAUAUCAACCAGUGAAAGAAAGAUUGUAUUUAUUAURGCUUACUCAACAUCAAUGUAAAUUUUGCACAGAAAUAUUUCAAUAUUGAUGUAGGUUUUGAAGUAUUUUGAGUUGAACAGAUAUUGAAUAAUUGUUUGUUAUAGAUUUGAAUGCUUAUGCCUCUUUGUCCUAGCUGAAGUAUUAAUGGUUAACUAUAAAAUAUUUAUAACAUUUUGGAAAUGAGAUUUUUAUAGUGAGGUAAUAUUUCCUAUUGUUAAAAUGUUAUUUUAUAAUCCUGUUGGCAUUUUUAUAUAUGAGUUAAAAUUCAAAAGAUCCAUCCACAUUUGUAAAUUGCUACGUGAAAAAAAUCUAAAAUGAAUAUGUCUAAUGGAAAUAGAAAAGUUGUCUGGAAGAAUAAGGUAAAAACUUACCAGUCCUCUGUAGAGAGAUGAGAAUAGAAGGAGUGUUUCUUUUAUCUUCUUUUAGUUUUUAUAAAGGUAUUAAAACAUGAACAAUUAAACAAGAAAGAAGUGUUAAGGAGACAGUUUGUACUUAUUUUCAUUCUUGCAACUCACCAUCGUUGGAGCAUUUGGUUGUCAUAUCCAGCUUUGUCUUCCCAGAGGCCUUUGUGAAUGAUUUUUUUUCAAUGAUUUUAUGAAGAGUAUGCAGUUUAAGAGAAUAAAUAGUAUUGGAUUAUCCAAGAAAAGAAGGAAGAAGAUGGAAUUAUAGGUAUUCACAAUGAGAGAUAUAUUGAAGGUAACUUGAGUACAGGUGAUGAAAUCAUCAGGAAUAUCUUCCUUUGGAGUCCUUAAUUUUUACAUCUUAACUGCAAAGCAUAGGUAAGAAGAUUCUGGUGCCAUUUUCAGAUGAUAGUUUCAAGAAAGAAUACUUCUGUCAUCCUUGGUUUUAAUCCUGUGAAUGAUAUGUACUAGCAAUGAAAGAUCUGUUGGAGUAAUUUAAUUCAUGUGUUCUUCACUCCUAUCUCUCACUUGGCGGGAAUUACUGGAAAGAAAUGCAUGCCAUUGUUUUUACCACCUUCUUCCUCAAAACUAAAAUAUGUUCUGCAUAAUGAAUGAAGACUUUAUACUUAAUGUGUGUUGCAGUGGACACUCCUUGCUCAUCAGAAGAACUGAACUCAGAAAGCUUGUUUUUGAAAAGAGACCUAAAAUAUAGCCCAGAAAAUUCUAAUACUUAGUUGUAUUAAUUGUCUUUAUUSUUGCUGUUGGACUUUAUCUCAGGAAGUGCAAUGGAAGAAACAUUUGUGUCCAGAGAAGUUUUCCAUAAGUAUAAAGUGCAUGCAUUUAUAAGUAUCACUUAUGACAGGAUAAAUUUGAACAUGACUUUAAAAUAUUAAAGAAUGCAGAAUCUUGUGAAGCAGGUUUUUUUUUUUUUUUUUUUUUGGGUACUGAGAAAUGAUCCCUUGGUGCUUUGCCACUUAGGCUUCAUCCCCAGUCCUUUUUAUUUUGAGACAGUGUCUUGCUUAGUUGCAGAAGGUAUUUCUGAGGCUGACUUUGAACUUGGCAAUCCUACUGCCUCAGUCUUCAAUUCUCUGGGACUAUAGGGAUGUGCCACCAUGCUAAGCUAAUAUUUUAAUUUAUUAAAUUUUUUUCUCCUUCUAAUUCAUACUCUAAUGCUGUUUGCUAUUAAAUUGAUACAAUUUGUAUUUUUUUCAUGGGUUGAUCUUAGCUAUGUAUUCUCGAUUUGGUAAACAUCCUUAUGUAUAAAUUUGAAUUUUUCAGCUACUUUGGAAUAUUUUCUGUGGAUUGGAAUUGCCGGGGAAAAGUAUUUCCAAAAUCUACAAUUGAGUAAAUUUCCUCCUAAUUGGAGUAAGUUCUUCCAUUGUUUAAUCAGCAUUCCCCAUUUUCUAAUACUGUGUAAACAUUAGAUAUCCGUAUUUUCUUGAUCAUUGAUAAUGUAUAUUAAAAAGAAAGUCCCUUCUUUUUCUGUUAAACURGAUCAUCUUCAUAUUAUAUUAGUAUUCAUUUGUAUUAUUUCAAAUUCUUGUUCCUUUAUUUUCACUUCCCUAUAAUAAGACUUUUUGUUACUGAUUACUAAGAAUUCAUUUAUACUUAUG